GAUGAACGCUAGCGGCAGGCUUAACACAUGCAAGUCGAGGUGUAUAGUUCUUCGGAACUAGAGACCGGCGCACGGGUGCGUAACGCGUAUGCAAUCUACCUUUUACAGGGGGAUAGCCCAGAGAAAUUUGGAUUAAUACCCCAUAGUAUGUUAGAGUGGCAUCAUUUUAACAUUAAAGUUCCAACGGUAAAAGAUGAGCAUGCGUCCCAUUAGCUAGAUGGUAAGGUAACGGCUUACCAUGGCGACGAUGGGUAGGGGUCCUGAGAGGGAGAUCCCCCACACUGGUACUGAGACACGGACCAGACUCCUACGGGAGGCAGCAGUGAGGAAUAUUGGACAAUGGGCGCAAGCCUGAUCCAGCCAUGCCGCGUGCAGGAAGACGGUCCUAUGGAUUGUAAACUGCUUUUGUACAGGAAGAAACACUCCCUCGUGAGGGAGCUUGACGGUACUGUAAGAAUAAGGAUCGGCUAACCCCGUGCCAGCCGCCGCAGUAAUAC
rnacentral:rRNA from 1 species